rnacentral:rRNA from 1 species
UACGUAGGGUGCAAGCGUUGUCCGGAAUUAUUGGGCGUAAAGAGCUCGUAGGCGGUUUGUCGCGUCUGCUGUGAAAAACCCGAGGCUCAACCUCGGGCCUGCAGUGGGUACGGGCAGACUAGAGUGCGGUAGGGGAGAUUGGAAUUCCUGGUGUAGCGGUGGAAUGCGUAGAUACCAGGAGGAACACCGGUGGCGAAGGCGGGUCUCUGGGCCGAUAUUGACGCUGAGGAGCGAAAGCGUGGGGGAGCAAACAGG